GUUGUUACUCUGUUGCCAAUGGAGACGUGCUCCUGCUCUGCAUUUGACAGUUCCCAGAGGUGUGUCCGCUGACUGGCAGCUGUACUGGCCAUUGGCGGAAGUGUACCGCCCUAUGCCAAUAAAGCUGAGGACAGGGCAUCUGGCUGCAAAACGCUCUGGCCAUAAGUGUGCCACCAAGGAGCAUGUCCAGAUGGGAGCCAAACACCAGGAAGAAGAAUUGACCGUUCAUCAACAGUCACCUGUCUGUCUGACAAACACCACAGCAGGGAUGACGAAUUGGAGAAUAGAGUGAAGCAAGUGUGGGCAAUGUCGUCGGAUGGAGUGGACAGGGCAACUGCAAUAAUUUUGUUGGGAGGGAUCCUUUGCCAUCCUGCACCUCCAUGACGUCCUUACGUUGAAGCCCAAUGAGUGGCUUUAGUGGGGAGGUAAUUGACUUCUAAUUCCAACUGAAGAGGAUUGACCUUCAAGUGGAGGGGGAUGAUUUAUUGUGGAUCACUUUGUGGCAGGGAUUAUCCUGCAUGGGGAUAAGGUGGCUGGCGAUGCGCAAGAUCACCUUGUCAAAGAGCAGUCUGGAGCAGCACAGUUGCUGGAUUGGAGUUUGCAACG